CCUACGGGGCGCUGCAGUGAGGAAUAUUGGUCAAUGGGCUUACGCCUGAACCAGCCAAGUCGCGUGAGGGAAGACUGCCCUAUGGGUUGUAAACCUCUUUUGUCAGGGAGCAACGCCGGCUACGUGUAGCCGGACUGAGAGUACCUGAAGAAAAAGCAUCGGCUAACUCCGUGCCAGCAGCCGCGGUAAUACGGAGGAUGCGAGCGUUAUCCGGAUUUAUUGGGUUUAAGGGGUGCGUAGGCGGAAUGCCAAGUCAGCGGUAAAAUCGCGGGGCUCAACCUCGCUCCGCCGUUGAAACUGGCGGUCUUGAGUGGGCGAGAAGUAUGCGGAAUGCGUGGUGUAGCGGUGAAAUGCAUAGAUAUCACGCAGAACUCCGAUUGCGAAGGCAGCAUACCGGCGCCCAACUGACGCUGAAGCACGAAAGCGUGGGUAUCGAACAGGAUUAGAUACCCUAGUAGUC
rnacentral:rRNA from 1 species